GGAAGCCGGUGCGAGUCCGGCGCGGCCCCGCCACUGUAACGGGCAAGUGGUAACGGCUCUACGCCACUGGGUGUCUUCACCCGGGAAGGCGAGCCGACCGCCCGAAGCCAGGAGAC
rnacentral:ncRNA from 1 species